GAUGAACGCUGGCGGCGUGCCUCAAACAUGCAAGUCGAGCGAGGCUAUGAGUUACCGCAAGGUAAGGCAUAGCCUAGCGGCGAACGGGUGAGUAACACGUGGGUAACCUACCUGGAAGACAGGGAUAACGAUUCGAAAGGGUCGCUAAUACCUGAUAAUAUCCAUCUGCCGGAUGGCGGAGGGAAGAAAGGGGAAACCCGCUUUCAGAUGGGCCCGCGUCCCAUCAGCUAGUUGGUAAGGUAAAGGCUUACCAAGGCGACGACGGGUAGCCGGUCUGAGAGGAUGUACGGCCACACUGGGACUGAGAUACGGCCCAGACUCCUACGGGAGGCAGCAGUUGGGAAUCUUAGGCAAUGGACGAAAGUCUGACCUAGCGACGCCGCGUGAGGGAAGAAGGCCUUCGGGUUGUAAACCGUCUGUCAUGGGGGAAGAAGGAAGUGACGGUACCCCAAGAGGAAGCCCCUGCUAACUACGUG
rnacentral:rRNA from 1 species